UACGUAGGGUGCAAGCGUUGUCCGGAAUUAUUGGGCGUAAAGAGCUCGUAGGCGGUCUGUCGCGUCGGAUGUGAAAAUCCAGGGCUCAACCCUGGACCUGCAUUCGAUACGGGCAGACUAGAGUUCGGCAGGGGAGACUGGAAUUCCUGGUGUAGCGGUGAAAUGCGCAGAUAUCAGGAGGAACACCGGUGGCGAAGGCGGGUCUCUGGGCCGAUACUGACGCUGGAGGAGCGAAAGCGUGGGGAGCGAACAGG
rnacentral:rRNA from 1 species